UACAGAGGGCGCGAGCGUUAAUCGGAAUUACUGGGCGUAAAGCGCACGUAGGUGGCGACGUAAGUCGGGUGUGAAAGCCCCGGGCUCAACCUGGGAAUUGCAUUCGAGACUGCAUUGCUGGAGUACGGAAGAGGAAGGCGGAAUUCCCGGUGUAGCGGUGAAAUGCGUAGAUAUCGGGAGGAACAUCAGUGGCGAAGGCGGCCUUCUGGUCCAGUACUGACACUCAAGUGCGAAAGCGUGGGGAGCAAACAGG
rnacentral:rRNA from 1 species